CAGGGAUCGCUCAGUAUGGUCCCACUGCUGCUGCUGGAUCAGGGCGUGUCCCCGGCGGAGUUGGGGAUCUGGAGCGGAAUGGUGUCCUUGGGGUUCUCCAUUGCUGGAUCUGCGGUUGGAGGAGCGCUCCUGAGGAAGGGCAGGUCGGUUCACUCGCUGCUCAGGACGCUCUUCCUUUUCCGGCUCUCCUGUCUGGUGCUGCAGACUAUCCUCCUCACUUCCUUGGGUAGAGAAGCAGGCUUUGUGAAAGACACGUCUUGCGCGGUGGAUGUUACGUUCUGCUGGCCGUCGGUGAUUCAGAGUCUUCCGGUAGAGAUGAUGUGACCUCUUCUCCUCAGUGUCUCUGCUCCUGACUCUGGUGCUGCAGAAUUUCCUGGCCGGUGUGAUCACUACAGCGACCUUCACCCUAAUGAUGCUCUGCACUCGUCAAUGUCACAAGAGAGUCCAGGCCAGUCACUACAGUCUUCUGUCAUCUCUAGAGGUUCUUGGUAAAGUGGUUUUCAGCGCGGUCUCGGGGCUCCUGGUGGACUCUCUUGGUGUCUCUGCAUCCUUCUCCCUGUUUAUUGUUCUCUCCUGUCUGCCCCUCCUUCACCUUCAGAGACUUCCAUCCACCUUACGGUGAGCAGAGCUGAGCAAUCCCUGCCUGAGCCACCUCCAGAGAACGGCACCAUCAUCAGACCUCAGUGCAAUACGAUGACAUCACCACCAGCCCUCUGAGCAGCACGGUGACAUCACCACCAGACCUCUGAGCAGCACGGUGACAUCACCACCAGACCUCUGAGCAGCACGGUGACAUCUCCACCAGCCCUCUAAGCAGCACGGUGACAUCUCCACCAGCCCUCUGAGCAGCAUGGUGACAUCACCACCAGCCCUCUGAGCAGCAUGGUGACAUCACCACCAGCCCUCUGAGCAGCAUGGUGACAUCACCACCAGCACUCUGAGCAGCAUGGUGACAUCACCACCAG